AAUGGAAUUGCUGGGUCAUAUGGUAACUAUGUUUAACUUUUUUUUGAGAAAUGGCCAGAUUGUUUUCCAAGGUGGCUGUACCAUUUUAUAUUCCCACCAGCAAU
rnacentral:pre_miRNA from 1 species